GAAAUGCGAUAAGUAAUGUGAAUUGCAGAAUUCAGUGAAUCAUCGAAUCUUUGAACGCACCUUGCGCUCCUUGGUAUUCCUUGGAGCAUGCCUGUCUGAGUAUCAUGAAAUCUUCAAAGUAAAUCUUUUGUUAACUCAAUUGGUUUCUACUUUGGUAUUGGAGGUCUUUGCAGCUUCACACCUGCUCCUCUUUGUUCAUUAGCUGGAUCUCAGUGUUAUGCUUGGUUCCACUCGGCGUGAUAAGUUAUCUAUCGCUGAGGACACUGUAAAAGGUGGCCAAGGUAAAUGCAGAUGAACCGCUUCUAAUAGUCCAUUGACUUGGACAAUACUUUUAUGAUCUGAUCUCAAAUCAGGUAGGACUACCCGCUGAACUUAAGC
rnacentral:misc_RNA from 1 species